GAAUACGUCAAAAUGUUAAACAUUGUCUAUGGUGAGUGUGGUUAACCGACGUUCACUAGACGGUGAUCACAUUAAAAAAAUUGUAAGUUGGCAGCAAUGCACUUAGUUUGAAAACUGUAUUAAUUUUGAUUUUGUUAAAUCGGUAGCCAUUAAUCGCAGUAUCGAUAUAGCGAUUUUAAAGCACAAGUGCUGUUAUGAGGAAUAGACAAUAUAGACCUUACUUCAAAUCUAUUAUGUAUGUUAUUGUUAUAUAUAUUUGUGUUUACGAAUGUAUAAAUAACAGGUAACAGUAGAGGAGUAGAAAAAAUAAGUAAGGUCACAGUUUCAUCUUGGGCGAAAAUGAUUUCGAUUAAAACUCAACAGUCUUUUAAGCUAUUCGUAAGUUCGCAGUGUCUAUAAUAAACAGAGCCACUAGUAUGUUUACAAACAUUUUUCGUUUUCAGUUUUGAAUUACGAAUUCAUUCAGUUAGGCAGUCAGAAGAAGCCGCUGUUGCUGCUCCAGGACUACACUUUUGCGAUGAAUGGCACCUGCCAGAGAUAUUGGCGGUGUAGCCAGAAGCUCUCUUGCUACUGCCAGGCUCGAGUUCGGUUCAAUGGCCAGAAAGCUGUAGUGUUUUAUGCGCUUCAGCACAAUCAUGCUCCUCCUAAAUUGUUUAAGAUAGCGACAGGGAAAUAUAUAAAAAUGUAGUUGAUCAUGUUAGUGAGAACCUACUCUAUUGUAUGCCUAUGUUGGAGAAAUUUUAAAUAUGAAAUCAGCUUAUUAGUCUUAUUAUAUCACCGCCUUCCUAAAAGUAUUUUGUUUGUAUGAUUAUAAUAUAGAAAAUUCAUAUAAAUGCUUACUUUAGUUAAGGAAUCUGCAAGUUACUUGACCUAAACUUGCGAAUUAUGAAAGUAUUAAUUGUUUUAAUUAUUUGGUUAUUUUUGUUAUUCAAUACAAAAAUAAACGAAAGGUCUUAAAAUUAUUUAGUAUGCCGUUUUUUCAUGAAUCUAACGGCUUUCUUUCUUAGACUUGAUCCAAUCGUCACCACCAGAAUUUUCUUACGAAAUUACCCGAUUGGAAAGUCCUAACAAAUGUAGGCUGAUGCUGCAAAAGCAGACAUUUCGUCUGACAGACUAAGACAAACGGUACUGCAGCAGAAGAAUGUAUACCGAGUGUCCAGCAAAGACAGUUCAUUUUCCAUACCUUCAAGACAACCAUCCUCCUCCGAAAUUAGAAGAAUUAAAUUCACUUUUAUAUACAUAUAAAACUGUGAGCUUUCUAUAUAAAAUUGGUCCAUGUGUAAUGUUUUGUAAUGAUCGCACAAGUAAAUAAAGAGUUUUUUUCCAUCUUAUUUAAUACAAUCAAGCAACAAGGUCAUAUUACCGUAUUUUUCAUGUAGAAUUUGAUUCAAGUUUUACAAAUGAUUUCCAUUUAAGCGAAAUAGGUGAUAAGACUCCCAGUAGAGUGUCAGUCAACUGUAAUAUUAAUUCGUCGGAAAAGUAUCCGAGAUUAUCUAACAGAUAAGAUGAUUUAAUGACCAUGUAAUAUACAUUACAUUUAGCACGACAUAUAUUGCAACAAAUUUUAAUAUGAUAUUAAUAAUAUGUUAGACACUACUUUUAUAAAUAAUUGACUGAAGUCUUUUAUAGAGUAGACCGGGUUUUUCUCCAAUAAACUCUUGAUUUUAUUCUUAAAGUUCUUUUCUGGUAAAGUGGUUAUAUCUGUCGGCAGUAGGUUGUAUAAAUAAAUUUUGAUAGAAUUUUCUUGCUUGUAUAAUCUCCUACAUACAUAGCUGUUUUUUAUUCCUCGUAUUGUACCUAUGAAUAUCUUUCUUUUGUUUCAAAUUAUUCUUAUCCUUGUGUAUUUCUAAGACUAUUGUAUAUAAAAAGUGAGAAAACGGUCAUUAUCCGGUCCUUUGCAAUAUUUUGCAAUAAUAAUAUUUUUAGCUGAAUGACGCUUACGUAAGUUAUUUAAUAUUCUGAUUGAUCAUUUUUAGGGUUCCGUACCCAAAGGGUCAAACGGGACUUUAUUACUGAGACUCCGCUCUCCGUCCGUCCGUCCGUCUGUCUGUCACCAGGCUGUGUCUCAUGAACUGUGAUAGUUAGCCAGUUAUAAUUUCUACAGAUUAUGUAUUUCUGUUGCCGCUAUAACAACAAAUACUAAAAACAGAAUAAAAUAAAUAUUUCUUUCCAAUCUCAAGUACUAAAACUUCCUAAUAUUAUAACUGAAUUGUCUGUUAGUAAAUUUAAAAAUUAUGUAAAACGUAAGCUUAUCUCUAAAGCCUAUUAUAGCACACAAGACUACAUGAAUGAUGAAACACCGUGGGAUUAAGUGUGAUUGUAAAGAAUGAAUUAUUUAUUGUUAUGUUAUUAAUGAUGAAAUUGAUAAUUCAAUGUAUACCGUAUUUUUUGACAUUUAGAUUUUAUUCUAGAAAGGUUCUAGACUAGUAUUUUUUAUACAAUUUUGAUGUUUGACGAUCUUUUUGUGAAAUUCUUAUUAUUAAGUUUACCAUAUCUAUAAUAGUUCAAUGUUUUUUUUAGAACAAUAAUAACUGCAUCAAUAAAUUGCUCUGAUAUUUAGAUUAAGAUGAUAUUUGUAAAAUUUGACGAUUUAAAAGUGCUUGUUGCUAGGCCUAUUUGAAUAAAGAAUAUUUUGACUUGACUUGACAAGGUUCUCAUCCAAUCACCGAAGUUAAGCAACGUCGAGCGGGGUCAGUACUUGGAUGGGUGACCGUUUUUAUAGUAUUGUAUAAUGGUCCUGUGCGAGUCCGACUCGCCCGAUUUUUGUAAUUUUAAUACUCUCGCGAUAUCUCCUCCAUUUCCUCAUAUACUAAUUGCAUAGUUUAUAUUAGCUUGAAUGUAUGGGUAAUAUACAGAUAACAAUGACUGUUUAUUCAAUAAUGGUUUAAGUUUUAACAGUGCAUAAUUUCCUUUAGAAAUCUUCUUACAAAUUUGUCUAUGUGGUGUUUAUGACUAAUUUUACUGUCUAUUUCAUAUCCCAAAAAUGUAGUUCUGGAUUCAUUCUUCUGCUUGCUAAUUUAGUUCAUAACAGAGUUUUAUUCGUAUUAAGUAUUAUACCGUUAGCUUCAAACCAGUUUCUAAUAAUAAACAUAACAUUUUGAAUUUUGUCUCUAUUGUCACUUGUAUCACUUCCUUUUAUUCCAACGUGCGUAUCAUCCGCAAAAAGAGUCACCAUUGCAUCGUUUGGUAGACAUGCUGGCAGGUCGUGAAUAUAUAUGAGAAAUAGUACAGGUCCCAGUAUUGAUCCUUGUGGUACGCCUGUGUCUAUUUGUGUACAAUUAGAGGUCGCUCCAUUCACGUUUACUAAUUGGUUUCGGUUUUCUAGGUAUUUUUUGACAAGUUCAUAUUCUGAUCCACGAAACCCAUAGAAUGAUAGUUUCUCCAGGAGGAUGUCGUGUAUUAAGCAGUCGAACGCCUUUGAUAGGUUACAGAAAAUACAGGAGCAUUUCUGCAACUCAUCUAAUGCGUUUAGGACAAAGUCAACCACUUUACGGAUUAUCCGCAAAAAUCUUAUUUAUUUCGAAAUAUUUUAUUAUCUGAGACUUUACAACAGAUUCCAAGAUAUAUAGUUGUCCCUAAAUCUUAUGUAAAUAAUUAUUUUCAGACUUAUGCUACGAGUUUAUCCAACUAGCAAGCGCUAAGAAACCCAUGCUUAUGCUGCAAAACUACACAUUUAGGCUGACGGGCAACGACGAGCGCUAUUGGAGCUGCAGUAGAAGAACUCAUACCAGGUGCCCUGCAAGAAUCCGCUUCAACGAUGCCCAAGCCAUCGUUUUCUACAACCUUGAUCACAACCAUCCUCCACCAAAAUUGUUUAAAUCAUCUGGGGGGAAAUAUAUCAAUCUAUAAGAUGCAGGGGAUACAUAUUCCUUCAACUGACAUUUAUGUUUUGAACUAAUUUUGAUUUAAAUGAAUCUGACUAAUAUCAUUUGCGUUUCUGUUUUAACUCAUCACUUUACUUUAUGGAACCACUUUCAUACAUUUUUUUAAACUAAUUCAAAUUAUUUUUUCAAAUAUUUUGAAUUUUGUUUCUUAAAUGGCUACAUGGAACCACUUUUAUCUUAUAAUUGUUCGGUUCUCUCCAUGAUACCAAUGUUGUGACUUUUAUUUCUAGGUUUAUCCUACGAAUUUAUCAAAGUGAGUAAUCAGAAAAACCCUUUGCUGCUGAUCCAAAACUACACUUUUGGUCAAACUACCGGCGGUUACAAAUAUUGGAGCUGCAGCCAGAGACUGUCGUCGAAGUGCAUGGCAAGAGUUCGGUUUGACGACCAAGGAGUCCCCGUGUUCUAUGUGCUCGAACAUAACCAUGCUCCUCCAAAGUUUUAUAAGUCAUCAGAAGGAUUAUAUGUCAAGGUUAAAUAAUAGAAGGUUCUUCCUUUAACUGUUUAAAUUUGAUUUGAAACCCGUUUUUAAUAAAUAAUUCGUUUGACUUUAUCUGGAGUUCUGUUUAGACUAAAUUUCUCCCACGUUCCUGAAUCAAACACCACAUUAUAUGUAUUUUUCUCUUUAUCUUAUGACUUUCUUUGUAGGUGUGGUCUACGAUUUUAUUCAAAUUGGGAAUAAGAAAAACCAGCUACUAUUGAUUCAAAAUUACACCUUUUGCCGAUCAACCCGCGGUCACAAAUAUUGGAAUUGCAAUCAGAAAUACUCUUCCAGAUGUUUAGCAAGGAUUCGGUUUAAUGACCAAGGAAUUCCAGUGUUCCAUGUGCUUGAACAUAGCCAUGCUCCUCCAAAAAUGUUUAAAUCAUCGGAAGGAAAAUAUAUAAAAUUUUGAGAGGCAGAAGGCACACUUUCCUCGAAAUACUUUAAGCUUCUAAUCUAUUUGUAAUACCUACAUCGUUUGACAUUAUCCGCAUUUCUGUUUAGACUAAAUUAAUCUCAUGAACCCGACAGUAUAUAUGUUUUUCUAUUUAUAAUAUGUCCUACGAGUACAUACAAAUGACUACUCAGAAAAACCCUUUGCUGCUGAUUCAAAACUACACAUUUCGCCCAACUAUCGGCGGCUAAAAAUAUUAGAGCUGCAGCCAGAGACUGUCGUCCUAGUGCAUGGCAAGAGUCCGGUUUGACGACCAAAGAGUCCCCGUGUUCUAUGUGCCCGAACAUAAUCAUGCUCCUCCAAAGUUUUAUAAAUCAUGAGAAGGACGUAUGUUACAGGUUAAAUAAUGGAACGCACGUUUACCUUAAACUGUUUAAAUUUUAUUUAAACCCUAUUUUUAGUAAAUAAAUCGUUUGAAUUUACCCCGAUUUCUGGUUAGACUAAAUUCCUUCGACGAUCCUGAAUCAAACCUCCCAUUAUAUCCUUUUUUCUCUUUAUCUUGUGACUUUCUUUGUAGAUGUGGCCUACGAUUUUAUUCAAAUUGGGAAUAAGAAAAACCAGCUGCUACUGAUUCAAAACUACACCUUUUGCCGGACAACCCACGGUCACAAAUAUUGGAAUUGCAGCCAGAAAUACUCUUCUAAAUGUUUAGCAAGGAUUCGGUUUAAUGAUCAAGGAGUGUCAGUGUUCCAUGUGCUUGAACAUAACCAUGAUCCUCCAAAGCUGGUCAAAUCACCAGACGGAAAAUAUAUAAAGUUUUAGAAACAGAAGAUAUACUUUCCUCGAAAUACGUUAAGAUUGUAACUAUUUUCUAAAUACAAAACCAGUUGAUACUAUCCGCAUUUCUAUUUAGAUUAAAUUCAACCCACGAACACGAAUCAAACAACAUAUUGUAUAUGUUUUUCUCUUUAUAUUGUGACUUUUUUGCAGAUUUGUCCUACGAGUUUAUUCAAAUGGCGAAUCAAAAAAACCAACUGAUGCUAAUUCAAAAUUACACCUUUGGCCGAUCAUCUCGCAGUCACAAAUAUUGGAAUUGUAGCCAGAGAUACUCUUCCAAGUGUUAUGCAAGGACAUGUCUUAUAAAUUCAUCGAGUUGGCAAGUUCUAAGAAACCAGUUCUGCUGCUUCAAGAUUACACCUUUACUCAAACCACUCGUGACUCCAGAUAUUGGAGCUGCACCAGAAGGAAGUCUGCGAAGUGUUCCGCUAGAAUACGGUUUAAUGAAGGCAGUGCCAUAGUCUUCCAUGAUCUGAACCACACCCAUCCGCCUACAAAAUUUUAUAAGACGGCUAAUGGAAAAUAUAUCAAGUUGUAAUUUGUUACAGUUUUUGAUAGAGUCACAAAUGUAAUUGAUUUUAAUUAUUCGUUUCUAAUAUAUAUUUUACUACAGUGUUGGUGGUUUUUGAUGUUGUGCAGUGCAAAUGCUGAUAUAUUUUGAUCUUAAUAGGCACUUGAUGACAACCUCGUUCCGCUUUUGUCGAAUGGCUAAGUAUAAGCGAUAUUUCCAACUGCUUCUUUUUGACUAUAAGCUAGUUGUAAAAUUAUUCCAAGUUUUGUCCAUCCAUCUGACGCUUUAUGUCCUUUUAGAUUUGUCCUUCGAAUUCAUAGAGCUGGCUUCAGGCAGCAGUAAGAAGCCGCUACUCAUGCUGCAGCAUCACACGUUCGCGCGGACCACCAGCGACCACCGCUACUGGAAUUGCAGUAAGAAGGCUGCUUACAAGUGCCCCGCCAGACUGCGCUUUAACGACGCUGGCGUCAUCGUGUUCCAUGACCUGACACAUAACCAUACCCCGCCUUCGUACUUUAGGACUCCUUCUGGAAAAUAUGUGCGGUUGUAACUUUGUAUCGCUGACAGGGUCUGGGUGCGUUCUGUGUUUUUCCUGUUACAAGGUACAAUUUUAACGGGUCCUUUAUCUCCGCUAGACUUCUUAGACACUGCGCAAUGCAGUUUAAAAGUUUACGCGAUUUUUGACAUUAUGAUUCUCAAAUAUGCACAAUGACAUAACUAUAAUAUAUGUUAUGUUUAUCGUAUUUAUCGACUACGAAAUGGUUGUUUCGUAGACGAUAACAAUUUAAAUUAGUAAGUUAUUUUUCAUUAUACCUAUAUGUUGUUGGUGUAAUAUAUUAGGCGUCGUGUGACAUGAACUUCCCAGCUAAUAUUUUAGUACAGUACGUACAUAAUUCGUUCAUUAGUAAUAAUUUUUGCACUUAUAUGUCUUACUUUAUAAACUUAUUGAUGUUAUAAUAUUGUAAAUGAAUAUUAAUAAUAUAGUAUGCUCCGUCUAUUUUUAUUUUUGCAUAGUUACUUUUUCGUGUAUUACGACAUAAAUAAGAUAAAAUAAAGGUCGAUAAGGUUUUAAAAGUAAUAAUUUUAGAUUGUGUAAAGUAUAAGUAUAAGUUGAAAGUUUCCGAUUAAAUUUCUUGGAUAAAACUAGAGAAGGCCUAAAGAACACAGAGUGCCCUAUCAAGAGUACCUUAAACCAACGAAUACGUGUGUAAGGAAAGGAUAAAUGAAGUAUCCGAAAUAGGUGUUCUAGGAUCGUAGCAGGUGAACAUCCGUGAUCUCUCCCUUCAGUAGACUGACGUGAUUACAAUGUAUGUAUCUUUCAGAGUUAAUGUACGAGUUUGUCGAGAUGAAUUAUGGCAAACCGCGUCUAUUACUGCAAAACUAUUCCUUUUCCCAGACAACGAAUGACCGUCGCUAUUGGAACUGCAGCAAAAAGUACAGUAAGUACAAAUGCAGUGCAAAGAUUAGGCUUAAUGAUUCUGGGCAAGUCGUCUUCCAUAAUCUUUACCAUACUCAUCCUGCUCCCGUAUCCAUUAAAACCAGAAUGGGGCGCACAUAUAAUGUGUAAUCACGUCCGGUUUCCGAUAAACAAUUAAAACAAUAUAUCUGAAUCUAUCUAACUCUUGUUUUGGACUAUUUGUCCAUGUACAGGAUAAUGUAAUAAGUGUAUCUAGUUAAAUUAAGUAAUAUUUGGUCAAUAAAAUUUGUCAUAAUUUACUGUAAAUAUUAUUUCCGUCCAGGGUUCUCCUGCUUACUCGUGUACUUAUUGUAUAGAUAGGCAUUUUAUCAGUAGGUAUAUCCAGUCUUUUGGUUUACUAUCUGAUGUUAAGCAAAAUAAGCGAGCUGCCGCAGAUGGUCGAAUGAAGCCGACUAACGUUCGUUUACCUACGACAAUUCGUUGAUUUUGCAUUUAGGUUACGAUGACUUGCAAUAUUUACCUUUCUUACAAAAGUGAAUGUUCCACAGCCUACGAGAUCCUGACCAUUGGAGGCGGACGCCAGGUGCUCUUGUUUCAGAACCACACGUUCUCCAACAGCUGGAACGCCAGGGCCUGGUACUGUUCCAAGAGGAAGUCCAUGCAGUGUCCGGCUAAAGUCAUAUUCGACAAGUUUAAUAAUUUGUCCAAAUUUAAUGUCGAGCAUACGCACUGAGCGGUCUUUCUUUGCCAUUGUAACGUUAUUUAUCAAAGAGGAAUAAUUGAUAUUCAAACGCAAAAUUACGCCUUCUUUCGAUAUGGGAGGGCCUAACGCAGGGAAGAUGUUUUUUAUUUAUUUGAACACUGGCAGGUUUUUCAUACGAACUAUAAUUUGUAGCGCCCUCUGUAUUGAGUUUUUGAUUUCUAGCCUCAUUAGGGGGUUAUAUACGAGUAUAAAAAUUACGGUAAAUAAGUGCCUAAAUAAUUGUCAUAAAUAUUUUAUUUUUAUCCAUACAUGGUUACAAAACUUAAUUUUCAAUCAGUUCUCUGCAAAACGAUGUUUACCGUUUGCCAGCAGAUUACUUUUACAGCUGUUCCUUUUUUUAUUCACAAGCAAUUAUUUAUGCUUCAAUAACUAACGGCCCGAUUCGAAGAAUGAUUAAGACACGUUUAAGAUCUUGGAAAGAUCGAUAACUAAACGACAUGUCAAAAUUGACGUUUAUUUCGAUUCCGUUGUGAUCCCAAUAAGAUCUAUCUACGAUAUUUCUAACGUCAAAGUGACACUGGUUGCCCGAAUCGAGCUACUUCUGUCAAUUAUACGACAUACAAACGAUAUCUAAAUGAGAACUUAUCUAAACCAAAACUUGUCGUUAUCGUAUCUCAUUAUUUAAAUCGGGCCGUAUAUAAAUCAUCUAUUACACCUUUUGUGAUCUUUAAAUUAUGUGUAAUUUAUUGAAUGUACUGCGGUGCUAAAGUUAAUUACAUGGUAUCUAAUGUUUUGGUUUGUCCUAACAAAAAUAUGUCGCUAUUAAAUAUUUAAACAUGUGUGUACUUAUUAUUUAGAUAUAAAAAAAUAUUAAAUUUUUAGAACUCCAACUACUUUUUAUUGUAGCAUUUAGUCUUUAUCUAAUUCUAAUAGAAUCUAUAAUUCUGACCCCAUCCAAUACGCAAUAUUUAUCCUUUAGGAAAUCUACAGUACGAGUUUAUGGAGUCACGGCGAAAACAACAUGGCAGAUCUGUCCUUGUAUUCCAAGGCUACACGUAUCACUCCAAAAAGAAGAACAAGUACUACUACUGCAGCCGCCGGGAUUACGGUUGUAAAGCUAGUGUGCGGCUCGAAGACGGGGUUGUGGCGACCAACAGUAUGCCACACAAUCAUAAGCGACCUGCGUUACAUCGGACAAGGGACGGGAGGCUGGUUAAGCUCUUGAAAGGGAUGGAACUUAAUCUAUGAUAAUAAAUCAAAUAUUUUUAGUUACAUUAUGAGUUCAUGGAGUCAAAGCGAAAACAAAAUCGCAGAUCCAUCCUCGUAUUCCAAGGCUACACGUGGCACUCCAAAAAGAAGAACAAGUACAGCGGCCGGGCGAAUGGUUGAAAAGCAGGUGUCAGGUUAGAAAAUAGGGUUGUGACGGCCAACAUAUGCCACACAACCACAAGCGUACUGUAUUACAUCGUACAAGGGACGGGGCACUGGUGAAACACAGAAAGUGAACUAUGAAAUGUCAUAACCGCUACUAGGUGAUUGUGUUACUGUGUACUGUUUCACUAGUUCCGCUUAGAUUAUGGGUUAAAUUGCGUUUGAAUGUAUUAAAUUACAAUUUGUUACAUGAGGGCAAUUUACUACAUAUACUAUAGAAAUGGAUUCUGGAAUAAAUUAAUUUAAUUAAUUAAUUGGUAUUAUUACAGUUCAGUUGGUAUUUUGUCUAGGUCAAAGUUUGUCUAGAUCGAAACUAAAAUGCCGACUCAACGUAUUCGUUUUUUUCUAGGCCUACAGUACGAAUUCAUGGAGUCAAGUCGGAAACAAAAUGGCAGAUCUGUCCUCGUAGUCCAAGGUUACACGUAUCAUUCCAAAAAGGACAACAAGUACUACUACUGCAGCCGCCGCGAGUACGGUUGCAAAGCUAGUGUGCGGCUAUACGAUGGGGUUGUGGCGACCAACAGUAUGCCGCACAACCAUGUUCGACCUGUGUUACAUCGAACAAGGGACGGGAUGCUGGUCAAGUUAGUGAAGCAGACAGGGAUAGGUAGAAAAGUGAAAUAUAAAAUCAAUAUUUGAGAGCAAUAGCCUAAAAUACAAUUGACACUUCCAGCAAUUGUACAUAGGUGCACCAGUAAGUGCAAUAAAAAGCAAUACGGGGAAGUUACGGGUAAAGACAAGCGAUUCAAAACAUAUGUAAAGAUGAAUCAUUAAUUGUAUUCGAAAUGUGGGGCUCUUCAAAAAAGGAGUGUACAGGUUUUAAAAGGUCGGCAACGCGCAUGUAAUAUCUCUGGUGUUACAGGCGUUCAUAUGCUACGGUGACUGCUUACCAUCAGGCGUACCGUACGCUUGUUUUCCACCGACGUGGUAUAAAAAAUAAAAUAAAAUAUUGACCCCUGAAACUUGUUAUGCUCGUAGAUUGUAUUGUCAAUUUUAUAAUCAGUUAUUAUAGUACUUUGUCUAAAUUCACAUAAUGAAAGGCAUUGAAACAUAAGUGUGGGUUUAUAGGAUCACACGAUUAUUUUAAUGCCUAAUUAUGUACUGUUUUAUACACUGCUUUAUCACGUAUUAUAAACUCUCUAUGACGUAUUCAGGAAUCGUAUGAUACGGCUGCCACUGCGGAAUUACACUACUUGUUCCUGAUUCCUUUUUUUUUAAGACAUGUCCGAAAUUAAAUGUCAUUAUAAUCGCAUUUGAUGUUAUUACAUAUAAUGUAAUAAUAACAUUUUCAUAGAUAACAAAUGUGUUUUAAUAAAAUAUCCUAGAGGGCUUAUGAUACGUGCCAUAUAAUAUUUAAUUUGAUUUAAGGGAAUAUCAAAAUGAUUGAUUUAAUGUUAUAUUUUGAUAUUAAUAAUUACGAGUCGAAAUAAGCAAGCUCAAACGUUAAAUAAGUGGUUAUUGAGUUACUUAGAUAUUUUAUUUUUAUUUUUGGUGGUUGUAAACAUUACUAAUUAAAUAUUGUUACGUAUUAAAUAAAUUAUUUCUUCAUUUGA